rnacentral:rRNA from 1 species
CCCUUAGAUGUUCUGGGCCGCACGCGCGCUACACUGAUUCAUGCAACAAGUUUUGUCCUUGGCUGAUAGGCCUGGGUAAUCUUUGAACGUGAAUCGUGAUGGGGAUAGAUGAUUGCAAUUAUUCAUCUUCAACGAGGAAUUCCUAGUAAACGCAAGUCAUCAGCUUGCAUUGAUUACGUCCCUGCCCUUUGUACACACCGCCCGUCGCUCCUACCGAUUGGAUGAUCCGGUGAGCUAUUCGGACCUUCGCUUCGUCGAUUUUCGGCUUUGUGAGGGAAAGUCUCGCGAACCUUAUCAUCUAGAGGAAGGAGAAGUCGUAACA